rnacentral:RNase_P_RNA from 1 species
GGAGUCGGCCAGGCAGUCGCGUCAUCGCAUUCUUCGGAAUGUUGAUGCCGAGGAAAGUCCGGGCUCCACAGGGCACGGUGCCAGGUAACCCCUGGGCGGCGCGAGCCGACGGAAAGUGCAACAGAAAGAUACCGCCGAUGGCCCGGAAGGGAUCAGGCAAGGGUGAAAUGGUGCGGUAAGAGCGCACCGCGAGUCCGGCAACGGACCGGCACGGCAAACCCCACCGGGAGCAAGACCAAAUAGGGAGGCAAUGCCGCGGCCCGCGGUGUCUCCGGGUAGGUUGCUUGAGCGUAUCGGUGACGAUGCGCCUAGAGGAAUGACUGUCCACGACAAAACCCGGCUUAUCGGCCGGCUCCGUCA